AUAGUUACCUGGCAUGGGAGAAACAAUGAUCAUGAAGGUUGUGCUCCCAGGCUGAGGUUAUCCCAUUGCACUGGGGGUGCCCUGUCACCUGUGAUGUCCCCAAAUGCAGGAUACUCGACUGCAAAAUUUGUGGUAGCGGGAGACUGCGUUCAUGCUUUUCCCUG